rnacentral:rRNA from 1 species
UGAGUACAAGAUGAUACGGCAUUGAAGCAGUCUAUGUCAUACUUCCAAGAAAAGCUUGCAAUGUCAUAAACAAAUAAUGCCUGUACCAUAACCGACACAGGUGGGUAGGUAGAGUAUACUAAGGGGCGCGAGAUAACUCUCUCUAAGGAACUCGGCAAAAUGACUCCGUAACUUCGGGAGAAGGAGUACCUUAUUUUAUAAGGUUGCAAUAACAAGGUCCAAGCAACUGUUUACCAAAAACACAGGUCUCCGCUAAGUCGUAAGACGAUGUAUGGGGGCUGACGCCUGCCCAGUGCCAGAAGGUUAAAGAAGUUGGUUAGCAUUAGCGAAGCUGAUAACUGAAGCCCUGGUGAACGGCGGCCGUAACUAUAACGGUCCUAAGGUAGCGAAAUUCCUUGUCGGGUAAGUUCCGACCCGCACGAAAGGCGUAAUGAUUUGGAUACUGUCUCGGAGAGGGGCUCGGUGAAAUAGACUUGUCUGUGAAGAUGCGGACUACCUGCACCUGGACAGAAAGACCCUAUGAAGCUUUACUGUAACUUGAGAUUGAAAUUGGACUUUAUUUGCGCAGUAUAGGUGGGAGACCUCGAAAGUAUUCUUGCGGGAAUAUUGGAGUCAUCAGUGAGAUACCACUCUUAUAAUGUUAGAUUUCUAACUUUGUAUCAUUAUCUGGUCAAAGAACAGUUUCAGGCGGGCAGUUUGACUGGGGCGGUCGCCUCCCAAAUGGUAACGGAGGCGCACAAAGGUUUCCUCUGAACGUGUAGAAAUCGUAUCUAGAGUGUAAAGGCAUAAGGAAGCUUGACUGUGAGACCUACAAGUCGAGCAGGGACGAAAGUCGGUCUUAGUGAUCUGACGGUGCUGAGUGGAAAGGCCGUCACUCAACGGAUAAAAGUUACUCUAGGAUGACAGGCUGAUCUCCCCCAAGAGUUCACAUCGACGGGGAGGUUUGGCACCUCGAUGUCGGCUCAUCGCAUCCUGGGGCGGUAGUACGUCCCAAGGGUUGGGCUGUUCGCCCAUGAAAGCGGUACGCGAGCUGGGUUCAGAACGUCGUGAGACAGUUCGGUCCAUAUCCGGUGUAGGCGUUAGAAUAUUGAGAGGAGCCUUCUUUAGUACGAGAGGACCGAGAAGGACAUACCUCUGGUGUACCAGUUAUCGUGCCAACGGUAAACGCUGGGUAGCUAUGUAUGGAGAGGAUAACCGCUGAAAGCAUCUAAGUGGGAAGCCCACCUCAAGAUAAG